GAAUUUAUAGCUAAGUUAUAAGCAUUUCAUUUACAAUGAAAAUAUAGUGGGGGCACUUUUA
rnacentral:tRNA from 1 species